rnacentral:snoRNA from 1 species
ACCCUCUCAGGGUUGCACCUGGAGAGAGUUUCCAGUACUCUACCAGUCUCGGCUUCAGGAGGUAGAGUCAAGCGGAGGCCUAUCCAUUCCAUUCCUAGCUUGGGCAGUGGUUAGUGAGUGGAAGGCCAUCUGCUACAAGU